GCACGCCAUUUUAAUAUAAAAAAAUAUAAUUUCUAUGAAAACAUCUACAUUAACAAAAUACAAAAUACAAUAAAAAAAGAUGAGUUAACCCCCAGUUGUAUAUGUAUUGCACAAUAAAACUAGAGUACAUAUGUUAAGAUAUCUUUACCACUUUACUGAUUAGGUAGCUAGGGUGUCUUCCUACAUCUGGUAUUUGAAAAAGCAGAUAACAAUUAGAUUAUCCCUUUCCUCCAUAAUGACGCCUUUUGACGCCUGUGUAGAUCCUCAGUUGAAAUGCUUCGACUACAAAAUGUCUGCAUCAGACUUUAAAAAAAUUGUAUCCAAUAUGAAAAGGAGAUUCAUGAGAAUUAUCUGACUUGAAUUAUUGGUUUUCACAAUGCAUUAACACUUUAAAAC
rnacentral:lncRNA from 1 species